UAUUAUGUGACUUUAUCAUGGCUAAUUACUGUAUCUAAGCACAGGUACAGUGUACAAGUCCAAUUAGCCUCCAAGAGGCUAAUUUAGCUAGCUUCCACCGUAUAUUUUCCGGCAAAAAGAUGUUACCAACGUGCCUUUGUAACAUAGUUAAGAUGGUUCAGGUUAAAUCCUGCUAAAAUGCACCACCUGCUGGUCAAAAGUUGUAUUGCAUUCAUCCUAGAAAGAGCGGGGUAUUAUGGGUAAUCCUCAGAGCCAUGAGGAUCACCGACGAGGAGCUGGUUUAUCCCAGACUGACCUCACCUCCAUGCCCGUUCUGUGAAAUGCAGGUAUGUUUUACCAAAUCUCCUGUAGCAGAUGGUUAGCAUGACACUGAGUUUUAUAUUAACAGUUUUAUACAAUGAUAUGGUUAAUUUAUGUUUCUGCAUUGUUCUAAAAUGCAAGAUUAUAUAAACUAAAACAUAAAAAUGGCAUCCAGUAAAUAAAAUGUCAGCAUUUUAUUUUAUUUUUCAGAACAUUUUAAUUCGUUACUUUGCUUUCUCUGAAAGACUCACUGGUUGUUCUUUUAUUGUAAAACAAAAUCCACUAUACGAUCUCUGUAAUUUGAAAUGAUUUUAUUGUGGUUACUGUAUGAUGGGUAAUCCUCAGAGCCAUGAGGAUCACCGACGAGGAGCUGGUUUAUCCCAGAGACUGACCUCACCUCCAUGCCCGUUCUGUGAAAAAGAAAGAAACAGUUGAUACCAACUUGAGCAGCUCCUUGUUGUUCAUUGCCACACCGAUAGAAGCCACCAGAACCACAUAGGCCACACCUUCAACCAUUCGCAGCACAGUCCUACUGCCAUCAAGUCCUAAAACUACCAUCAGUAAUUUUAUAACGUAACACUUUGGAGUUAUUUUUGGUUUUAGAGUACAAAAACAUUUUGACAGGUGCAGGUUUCUACUCACCGGAGUGUAAGUGUCGCAUAGGAUGACGUCAGCUUAUUCUUCUUCUUGGGUUUUAGUGGGAUCCGUCCUUAUUUUUAUUAUUUCAAUCAAAAAUAUUAAAACGUUUACAGAACAGUUUGGCAUGCAACCACAAAAGAAAAUACAUCUUAAUUUUUCUUAAAUCAUUUGGAGUAAAUCAUUGAUAUCAUAUUCAAAAAUAGUUGGUAAAUUUUAAAAUAGGUUUUUAAAUCAAACUAACAACAACCACAACAAAAACCCUCCGGUUUUAUACUUUAUUGAGUUAUUUUUAAAUACCGAAUUAAAAUCUUAUGACUGAUACAUCUGACCUGGAUUUGAAGUAAAUAUUUUUAAUAUUGUGUUCAAACUAGCACAUCAAUUGUAAAUAAAGUUUUUUUUAAAGAAAAAA